GUUGACGGCGCUGCGAUGGCUGCCUGCGAGGGCAGGAGAAGCGGAGCUCUCGGUUCCUCUCAGUCGGACUUCCUGACGCCGCCAGUGGGCGGGGCCCCUUGGGCCGUCGCCACCACUGUAGUCAUGUACCCACCGCCGCCGCCGCCGCCUCAUCGGGACUUCAUCUCGGUGACGCUGAGCUUUGGCGAGAACUAUGACAACAGCAAGAGUUGGCGGCGGCGCUCGUGCUGGAGGAAAUGGAAGCAACUGUCGAGAUUGCAGCGGAAUAUGAUUCUCUUCCUCCUUGCCUUUCUGCUUUUCUGUGGACUCCUCUUCUACAUCAACUUGGCUGACCAUUGGAAAGCUCCAGGAGGCAUAUAUGGCAACGAAUUGGCAAGAAAUCAAGAUAAAGAGAAAGGUAGAGCUGUAUGUAACCACCUGGCUAGAACACAGAUGUUAAUUUGAUGCUGUCUGACUACUUUCUAGGUCUCUGGUCUCUGGCUUUCAGGCUAGAGGAAGAGCAGAAGAUGAGGCCAGAAAUUGCUGGGUUAAAACCAGCAAAUCCACCCGUCUUACCAGCUCCUCAGAAGGCGGACACCGACCCUGAGAACUUACCUGAGAUUUCGUCACAGAAGACACAAAGACACAUCCAGCGGGGACCACCUCACCUGCAGAUUAGACCCCCAAGCCAAGACCUGAAGGAUGGGACCCAGGAGGAGGCCACAAAAAGGCAAGAAGCCCCUGUGGAUCCCCGCCCGGAAGGAGAUCCGCAGAGGACAGUCAUCAGCUGGAGGGGAGCGGUGAUCGAGCCUGAGCAGGGCACCGAGCUCCCUUCAAGAAGAGCAGAAGUGCCCACCAAGCCUCCCCUGCCACCGGCCAGGACACAGGGCACACCAGUGCAUCUGAACUAUCGCCAGAAGGGCGUGAUUGACGUCUUCCUGCAUGCAUGGAAAGGAUACCGCAAGUUUGCAUGGGGCCAUGACGAGCUGAAGCCUGUGUCCAGGUCCUUCAGUGAGUGGUUUGGCCUCGGUCUCACACUGAUCGACGCGCUGGACACCAUGUGGAUCUUGGGUCUGAGGAAAGAAUUUGAGGAAGCCAGGAAGUGGGUGUCGAAGAAGUUACACUUUGAAAAGGACGUGGACGUCAACCUGUUUGAGAGCACGAUCCGCAUCCUGGGGGGGCUCCUGAGUGCCUACCACCUGUCUGGGGACAGCCUCUUCCUGAGGAAAGCUGAGGAUUUUGGAAAUCGGCUAAUGCCUGCCUUCAGAACACCAUCCAAGAUUCCUUACUCGGAUGUGAACAUCGGUACUGGAGUUGCCCACCCGCCACGGUGGACCUCCGACAGCACUGUGGCCGAGGUGACCAGCAUUCAGCUGGAGUUCCGGGAGCUCUCCCGUCUCACAGGGGAUAAGAAGUUUCAGGAGGCAGUGGAGAAGGUGACACAGCACAUCCACGGCCUGUCUGGGAAGAAGGAUGGGCUGGUGCCCAUGUUCAUCAAUACCCACAGUGGCCUCUUCACCCACCUGGGCGUAUUCACGCUGGGCGCCAGGGCCGACAGCUACUAUGAGUACCUGCUGAAGCAGUGGAUCCAGGGCGGGAAGCAGGAGACACAGCUGCUGGAAGACUACGUGGAAGCCAUCGAGGGUGUCAGAACGCACCUGCUGCGGCACUCCGAGCCCAGUAAGCUCACCUUUGUGGGGGAGCUUGCCCACGGCCGCUUCAGUGCCAAGAUGGACCACCUGGUGUGCUUCCUGCCAGGGACGCUGGCUCUGGGCGUCUACCACGGCCUGCCCGCCAGCCACAUGGAGCUGGCCCAGGAGCUCAUGGAGACUUGUUACCAGAUGAACCGGCAGAUGGAGACGGGGCUGAGUCCCGAGAUCGUGCACUUCAACCUUUACCCCCAGCCGGGCCGUCGGGACGUGGAGGUCAAGCCAGCAGACAGGCACAACCUGCUGCGGCCAGAGACCGUGGAGAGCCUGUUCUACCUGUACCGCGUCACAGGGGACCGCAAAUACCAGGACUGGGGCUGGGAGAUUCUGCAGAGCUUCAGCCGAUUCACACGGGUCCCCUCGGGUGGCUAUUCUUCCAUCAACAAUGUCCAGGAUCCUCAGAAGCCCGAGCCUAGGGACAAGAUGGAGAGCUUCUUCCUGGGGGAGACGCUCAAGUAUCUGUUCUUGCUCUUCUCCGAUGACCCAAACCUGCUCAGCCUGGAUGCCUACGUGUUCAACACCGAAGCCCACCCUCUGCCUAUCUGGACCCCUGCCUAGGGUGGAUGGCUGCUGGUGUGGGGACUUCGGGUGGGCAGAGGCACCUUGCUGGGUCUGUGGCAUUUUCCAAGGGCCCACGUAGCACCGGCAACCGCCAAGUGGCCCAGGCUCUGAACUGGCUCUGGGCUCCUCCUCGUCUCUGCUUUAAUCAGGACACCGUGAGGACAAGUGAGGCCGUCAGUCUUGGUGUGAUGCGGGGUGGGCUGGGCCGCUGGAGCCUCCGCCUGCUUCCUCCAGAAGACACGAAUCAUGACUCACGAUUGCUGAAGCCUGAGCAGGUCUCUGUGGGCCGACCAGAGGGGGGCUUCGAGGUGGUCCCUGGUACUGGGGUGACCGAGUGGACAGCCCAGGGUGCAGCUCUGCCCGGGCUCGUGAAGCCUCAGAUGUCCCCAAUCCAAGGGUCUGGAGGGGCUGCCGUGACUCCAGAGGCCUGAGGCUCCAGGGCUGGCUCUGGUGUUUACAAGCUGGACUCAGGGAUCCUCCUGGCCGCCCCGCAGGGGGCUUGGAGGGCUGGACGGCAAGUCCGUCUAGCUCACGGGCCCCUCCAGUGGAAUGGGUCUUUUCGGUGGAGAUAAAAGUUGAUUUGCUCUAA